rnacentral:rRNA from 1 species
AUUAAACGCUGGCGGCAGGCCUAACACAUGCAAGUCGAGCGGAUGAAGGGAGCUUGCUCCUGGAUUCAGCGGCGGACGGGUGAGUAAUGCCUAGGAAUCUGCCUGGUAGUGGGGGAUAACGUCCGGAAACGGGCGCUAAUACCGCAUACGUCCUGAGGGAGAAAGUGGGGGAUCUUCGGACCUCACGCUAUCAGAUGAGCCUAGGUCGGAUUAGCUAGUUGGUGGGGUAAAGGCCUACCAAGGCGACGAUCCGUAACUGGUCUGAGAGGAUGAUCAGUCACACUGGAACUGAGACACGGUCCAGACUCCUACGGGAGGCAGCAGUUGGGAAUAUUGGACAAUGGGCGAAAGCCUGAUCCAGCCAUGCCGCGUGUGUGAAGAAGGUCUUCGGAUUGUAAAGCACUUUAAGUUGGGAGGAAGGGCAGUAAGUUAAUACCUUGCUGUUUUGACGUUACCAACAGAAUAAGCACCGGCUAACUUCGUG